CUCGUGAUUGAGCAGACAAUUCGGCUCGUGGGCGAUAUACCAAGAUAGGUAAUCUAAUCGACCUAAUUCUCCCCUUGCUCUCUUUCCUUCUAUUUCUUUACACUGUUUACAUUCUCUCGUCAAGUACACCACGUCCAAAACUUUCCCCGUGACUUCCGAGACAGCAGCAACCAGACCAUCUCGUGCGGACCAACCUCGCGAACUCCAUGAACAGUCAAAACUCGCACCGACAUCAACAACUUUUUCUACCAAUUCCUGGUCUGUACAAUCUGCAACUUCACCUACUGUUCUUUUAAGUUGUUUCAGUUGCAAGGCUGCCUGGUUGAAAUCAAUCUCAGUUAGGUCUUUUACUUUCUCUUCAAUGAGUGUUGUAUGUUUAUCCCACGUGUAGACCGGUGACAAACCGAGAAAACUAAAACAUUUUUGCGCUGCAGAUCGUCCUUUCCCGAUAGCCCGAAAACCAACAACUGAAGCACGGUUAACAUCAUAUAUUUUAUCGGACUUGGGCGAAAUUGGAAAAGACUGGUUCGACUCUCGCGACACACAACAUUCAUUCGUACAACGAUAGUUCCAUUUGGCCCCAAGACCUUGUUUCGAUCCUACCUUUUCCACAAUAUGUAGGGAACUGUAGCAAAGUUUGCAAACAGCAGAAGUUUCCAGCAUUUGCCCCAAACUGUCAACGUUAACAAUAUAGUUCCCUGUGGGUUUCAAAAAGACAGAACAUUCGUCGUGGUCUUCGUCGUCGUCACUGCUAUUAAAAGGUGAUUCAGAACUAUAGAUGAUUCUGUGGCGCUGCUAUUUUCAAGAAACGAUUUCAUGCUUUCUUCUAGCUUCCUCUUACUUGCGCUCGGUGUUACUGUGUCGUUUGUCGCUGAAGAACAAGCUUUGGAAUCGUCCAAUUGUUCUGGCCACUGUUGUUCUUGAGAAAACCAUGAACCUUUGUCACUAUCCGCCAGCACUUGUUUCUCGUUCGAGUCAAAUUUCUUUCGCUGAGAAGAACUUUUCCUUUUUCGCGAUCGAGAAGAGCAAAAUGGGCUCUUAUUUUUUCUCUGAUCCUUUACUUUCAAAGGCAUGAUGACCGCGUACUUAUACCACUUAUGACUCAAGAAUAAUCACUUUAUAUAGCUCGCUCCAGAGAGAAAAAUUUGCUGUGUUACUGUUGUACAAACUACAAAGUUAUAUAAUCCUGAUUUAACCUUACACCAAAG